CCCUUAGAUGUUCUGGGCUGCACGCGCGCUACACUGAUGCACUCAUCGAGUUUAUGACCUUGCCCGAUAGGGUUGGGUAAUCUUCUUAAAAUGCAUCGUGAUGGGGAUAGAUUAUUGCAAUUAUUAAUCUUCAACGAGGAAUUCCUAGUAAGCGCGAGUCAUCAGCUCGUGCUGAUACGUCCCUGCCCUUUGUACACACCGCCCGUCGCUCCUACCGAUUGAGUGGUCCGGUGAGGCUUUGGGAUCUGAGCGGAAAGAGCGUUUCGCUGUUUCUGCCCGGAAAACUCAGUCGAACCUUAUCAUUUAGAGGAAGGAGAAGUCGUAACA
rnacentral:rRNA from 1 species